UACGUAGGGUGCGAGCGUUGUCCGGAAUUAUUGGGCGUAAAGAGCUUGUAGGCGGUUUGUCGCGUCUGCUGUGAAAAUCCGGGGCUCAACCCCGGACUUGCAGUGGGUACGGGCAGACUGGAGUGUGGUAGGGGAGACUGGAAUUCCUGGUGUAGCGGUGGAAUGCGCAGAUAUCAGGAGGAACACCGGUGGCGAAGGCGGGUCUCUGGGCCGUAACUGACGCUGAGGAGCGAAAGCGUGGGGAGCGAACAGG
rnacentral:rRNA from 1 species